rnacentral:piRNA from 1 species
UGUUAGUAUGGUGCUCUCUAUA